GUGAGGAAUAUUGGUCAAUGGGCGGGAGCCUGAACCAGCCAAGUCGCGUGAAGGAAGAAGGAUCUAUGGUUCGUAAACUUCUUUUGCAGGGGAAUAAAGUGCAGGACGUGUCCUGUUUUGUAUGUACCCUGAGAAUAAGGAUCGGCUAACUCCGUGCCAGCAGCCGCGGUAAUACGGAGGAUCCGAGCGUUAUCCGGAUGUAUUGGGUUUAAAGGGUGCGUAGGUGGUUUUAUAAGUCAGCGGUGAAAGUUUGCAGCUUAACUGUAAAAAUGCCGUUGAAACUGUCGGACUUGAGUGUAAAUGAGGUAGGCGGAAUGCGUGGUGUAGCGGUGAAAUGCAUAGAUAUCACGCAGAACUCCGAUUGCGAAGGCAGCUUACUAAGCUACAACUGACACUGAAGCACGAAAGCGUGGGGAUCAAACAGGAUUAGAUACCCUAGUAGUCC
rnacentral:rRNA from 1 species